rnacentral:ncRNA from 1 species
UAUCGCUAGGGGAGCUAACGCUGAGAUUGAAUCGGAUGACUGAUUCUAACCCUCAUCACCUGAACCGGAUAAUACCGGCGUAGGGAAGCAGU